AAAGGUUUGGUCCUGGCCUUAUAAUUAAUUGGAGGUAAGAUUACACAUGCAAACAUCCAUAAACCGG
rnacentral:rRNA from 1 species